AUUGAACGCUGGCGGCAGGCCUAACACAUGCAAGUCGAGCGAGCGGCGGACGGGUGAGUAAUGUAUGGGGACUGCCCGAUAGAGGGGGAUAACUACUGGAAACGGUAGCUAAUACCGCAUACUAUCGGAUAACCCAUAUGGGAUUAUCUAGUAGGUGAGGUAAUGGCUCACCUAGGCGACGAUCCCUCGCUGGUCUGAGAGGAUGAUCAGCCACGCUGGGACUGGGACACGGGCCAGACACCUACGGAGGAAGCAGUGGGGAAAAUGGUACAAUGGGCACAAGCCUGAGGCAGCCAUGCGGCGUGUAUGAAGAAGGCGCUAGGGGUGGAAAGUACUUGCAGGCGGGAGGCGUUACCGACAGAAGAAGCACCGGCUAACGCCGUGCCAGCAGCCGCGGUAAUAC
rnacentral:rRNA from 1 species